GGCGGCGAUCUCAGGUGUCGAGAUGUCGGAGCUGAUCGCCUCGGCUCAGCUGUACUCUAAUUUGGCCGGUAGCUGUAAGUUUAUCGAUUAGCGGGUUUUUAUCCGGGAGUUGGUGAAUGACACCAGCACUUCCGAAUACUCGGCCCGUCAGUGCGGUAUGGUACUUAUGCUAGAGGUGGUACACAGGAUGUGACACGGCCACGACCCCAGUACACCACGCUCUAGGUUGAAACAAAAUCAACGUUCGCAAACUGGGGGAAUGCAGGUCGAAGGCCCCACAGUUCCCAGUUUCCGUACGUUGACUCGCUUCGUAUCUAAGGUACUGGUGAUAGUAUGGUAACGAAAAGCAAGAUGUGACACGGCCACUACCUCCGCUUAACGUUCACAACCUUACGACUAAAUCAAGCAAGCGGGAGCUGGCUACAUGCGGGUCACAGGCCCCACAGGUAUCGAACUUCCGGGUGUUUGAGGGUUCGUCUUUCAAGGACUGGAUGAUUUCUAAUGAAUGGCGAGGUUAAGGGUGCAGGGACAGGUGGGUUAAGGAUAUAAGCGGAACGGAAACGGUCUGGAUUCAGGUUUUCGGUCAUCAAAUGACAGGAUAGAAGUGUCUUAUAAAAUCAAGGGAUCCUCCUUUUAUACAGCCAUGAUUAGGACUACGACUAGGAAGUGGAAAUGACACUUGGUUAGGUUAUCAUUUAUGAUUAGUUAGCGACAUCUAUUGAUGUCAAUGUAGUGCAUUUGUAAAGGAGCGUUUACACGCUCUAUAAAUAAAGGCACGGGUACAUAGUUACCUUACACCCUAUCUCAGUCUCAGUUGCCCCUGGUUUUUGCCGGCGAACCGUCUCUAUUAUGAGGUUAAAGAAAUUUAACUCUUUAAAUUUAUUUUAUUAUUUAUUAUUUCCCCAAGCAAUUAUGGCGUAAGACA